rnacentral:rRNA from 1 species
GACGAACGCUGGCGGCGUGCUUAACACAUGCAAGUCGAACGGAAAGGCCCUGCUUUUGUGGGGUGCUCGAGUGGCGAACGGGUGAGUAACACGUGAGUAACCUGCCCUUGACUUUGGGAUAACUUCAGGAAACUGGGGCUAAUACCGGAUAGGAGCUCCUGCUGCAUGGUGGGGGUUGGAAAGUUUCGGCGGUUGGGGAUGGACUCGCGGCUUAUCAGCUUGUUGGUGGGGUAGUGGCUUACCAAGGCUUUGACGGGUAGCCGGCCUGAGAGGGUGACCGGCCACAUUGGGACUGAGAUACGGCCCAGACUCCUACGGGAGGCAGCAGUGGGGAAUAUUGCACAAUGGGCGGAAGCCUGAUGCAGCAACGCCGCGUGC